rnacentral:rRNA from 1 species
AUUGAACGCUGGCGGCAGGCCUAACACAUGCAAGUCGAACGAGUGGCGGACGGGUGAGUAAUGUCUGGGAAACUGCCUGAUGGCGGGGGAUAACUACUGGAAACGGUAGCUAAUACCGCAUACCAUCGGAUGUGCCCAGAUGGGAUUAGAUAGUAGGUGGGGUAACGGCUCACCUAGGCGACGAUCCCUAGCUGGUCUGAGAGGAUGACCAGCCACACUGGAACUGAGACACGGCCCAGGCUCAGAAGGGAGGCAGCAGUGGGGAAUAUUGCACAAUGGGCGCAAGCCUGAUGAAGCCAUGCCGCGUGUAUGAAGAAGGCCUUCGGGUUGUAAAGGACUUUCAGCGGGGAGGCGUUACCCGCAGAAGAAGCACCGGCUAACUCCGUGCCAGCAGCCGCGGUAAUUC